UGUUAGAUAUUAGGAGAAUAAAUAAUCAGCGCUCCCGUCCUCUCCUCUACAGAUACUCCCAUUUUUUCUUUCGAAAUUUGAGUUUGAGGGGUUUAUUUCUUUCUGCAAAAUCACCUUCAGAAAAGAGAGAGAUGAAAAACCAUCGACCAAACCAUUCGACAAACACGACUGGCCGUUGGUCAAAAUUCAAUCUUUUUCAGUUCUUGAUUGUAAAGAUUGCAUCUUUAUCGCUGUCAAAAUAUUGACUCAUUCCAUUCUUUUCUUCACAUUUUUGAUGAAUUGUUGACUACUAUCGUUGUAUUUUUUUAAUCUAUCAAAUGUUCCAAAAUUUGGUGUGUUAUUGUAUGUGUUGUUGACUCUUUUGAAUGUAAGCGAUCAUAAUUAACAGGAUGAAAAUAUGCUUUAUAUUCCGGUGGCUAGAACUUUGUCAAAGUAUGUUGGUUGGUAUAUCACAUGUAUCGAUUUGCAAUGGCAAGUGAUUUCUUAAAAAUUUUAGAGGCCCACAAGAUAUUAUACGAUGUUUGGUUGGGAAUUUGCUUGGACUUUCUUUUUUCAGAAUUUUGGGGAAUUUCUUUAGGUAUGGCAAUAUGGAAGUUGUGUUAUGAAUAUUGAGAUGCAAUUUUGGGUAGGCUGAACUAAGAAAGAAAAGUUUAAUCCUCUGCGUGGAUCAAUCAUUCUUUGGGAGCUUGAUUUGUGUUGGAGCAUAGGAUUGGAGUACAGGAAGAACAAUAUUUUUGUUAAGAAAACUUGUAUUUGAAAAGAAUGCUUCUGAUUUUAGUUUCCCGGAUUAUCUUUCUAAUAUGACAAUGAAGAUAAUGCAAAUUGUGAAGAGCUGGAUUUAAAAGAUUUCUAAAACCUCAAGCUUUCUUCAUGAGAUUUUUGCCUUGAUAUUGAUGCCUGAGCGGUUUUACUAGGAUAUUAGUCAAAACACGGAUCUGUUCUAUCCCGUGCAGAAAGAUUCAGCAGUUGGAUGAAGGUUCUGAUUUUAGUGUGAUGAUGGAUCUAGCUCCCUUUGGAGUGCAUUCAACAGUCAUAUAAAGAUGGUAUGGUACAGGGAGUCUUGAACACAAAUUUUAGAUAACUUGUAUGAUGAAACGUAUUUUGGCUCUUGCGAUGUGAAAACCAAUGGCAUCCAGGUACCAUCCAGCCCUCCCUUUGAAGCCCACAAUUUGCCCUCCUU